GACGGAGGGUGCAAGCGUUGCUCGGAAUCACUGGGCGUAAAGGGUGCGUAGGCGGUCUCGCAAGUCUGGCGUGAAAGCCCAAGGCUCAGCCUUGGAAGUGCGCUCGAAACGGCGAGGCUGGAGUGCCGGAGGGGAGAGUGGAAUUCCCGGUGUAGCGGUGAAAUGCGUAGAGAUCGGGAGGAACACCAAUGGCGAAGGCAGCUCGCUGGGACGUUACUGACGCUGAGACGCGAAAGCGUGGGGAGCAACA
rnacentral:rRNA from 1 species